GACGAACCGUACGAACGUUAUUCGGAAUCACUGGGCUUAAAGGGUGCGUAGGCGGCGCGGAAAGUUGGGUGUGAAAGCCCUCGGCUCAACCGAGGAAUUGCGCCCAAAACUACCGUGCUUGAGGGAGACAGAGGUGAGUGGAACUAAGGGUGGAGCGGUGAAAUGCGUUGAUAUCCUUAGGAACACCGGUGGCGAAAGCGACUCACUGGGUCUCUACUGACGCUGAGGCACGAAAGCUAGGGGAGCGAACGGG
rnacentral:rRNA from 1 species